UACUAGAGGCAAAGAAAUAUAUUACAAGGA
rnacentral:piRNA from 1 species